CCCUUAGAUGUUCUGGGCUGCACGCGCGCUACACUGAUGCAUGCAACGAGUUUUCGACCUUGCCUGAAAAGGUUGGGUAAUCUGUUUAACAUGUGUCGUGAUGGGGAUAGACCAUUGCAAUUAUUGAUCUUCAACGAGGAAUUCCUAGUAAGCGCAAGUCAUCAGCUUGCGUCGAUUACGUCCCUGCCCUUUGUACACACCGCCCGUCGCUCCUACCGAUUGGGUGUGCUGGUGAAAUGUUCGGAUCGGCCGUUUGUCGCGGUUUCCGCGUCAUGUGGCUGAGAAGUUCAUUAAACCCUCCCACCUAGAGGAAGGAGAAGUCGUAACA
rnacentral:rRNA from 1 species